rnacentral:tRNA from 1 species
GGCUCCAUAGCGUAGUGGUUAGCACACCUGCUUUACACGCAGAAAGUCCUGGGUUCAUGUCCCAAGUGGAGCCA